rnacentral:tRNA from 1 species
UCUAAUAUGGCAGAUAAGUGCAAUAGAUUUAAGCCCUAUAUAUAAAGAUCUUUCUUUUAUUAGAA